rnacentral:rRNA from 1 species
GAUCCUGGCUCAGGAUGAACGCUGGCGGCGUGCCUAAUACAUGCAAGUCGAACGAAGCACUUCGGUGCUUAGUGGCGAACGGGUGAGUAACACGUAGGCAACCUGCCCAUAUGACUGGGAUAACAGUUGGAAACGACUGCUAAUACCGGAUAGGUAAUAGGGUGGCAUCAUCUUAUUAUUAAAGUUGUGAUACACAUAUGGAUGGACCUGCGGUGCAUUAGUUAGUUGGUGAGGUAACGGCCCACCAAGACGAUGAUGCAUAGCCGACCUGAGAGGGUGACCGGCCACACUGGGACUGAGACACGGCCCAGACUCCUACGGGAGGCAGCAGUAGGGAAUUUUCGGCAAUGGGGCAACCCUGACCGAGCAACGCCGCGUGAGUGAUGAAGGUCUUCGGAUUGUAAAGCUCUGUUGUAAGGGAAGAACGUUAGUGAUAGUAUCAUUAAGUGACGGUACCUUACCAGAAAGUCACGGCUAACUACGUGCC